UCUAACCUGUCUCCAGGGACAGAACAGUGGGAGGUGUUAGAUGAUGGGAGGAUUUGUCCAUCACGGUGGUGGACAGGAACCUUGUGUAGUGGGCAGUGGGCAGCGUGCCCUUGGCUAGGCCUCUGUAAUGAGCACAGCCUGGGAGCUCAGACAUCAGAAAUGGAGUCUCAGGCCAUCCUGGAGAUUGGGAGGCCCAGAUCCAGGAGUCCAUGGGGUUGGCUCCUUUGGAAGACUGUGGGAAAGGUUCAUGCCAUGCCUCCCCCUGGCAGCUGGUGGCUUGGUGGCAAUCCAAGUGCAGAUAUGAGAGUUAGGAAUGCCAGCAAGAAUGAGACUUCCCUGCCACAGGAUUUCAAGGGAUCUGCUAAGAGAGCUGCAACCUGCUGGGAGUUUGAAAGACUCCUCCAUUCUGCCUCCCCCUGCCCCCAGGGCACUGGGCUUGCACACCCUCCUCUACCUGGCUCCCAUUCUUUGCUCUGUGCCUACCCUAGGCCUCCAGCCCUCCGCCUCUCCUCGAGACCUGUUGGGGCUUUGCCGACUAAUCAGUUUCCUCCUGGCCUUUGUUCUGUCUCAGCACUUGGCUUGUAAUCUGGCCCCAAACCAUCUCCUCUCAGCCUCUCCCACCCCACCCGAUGCUGUACAUCCAACCUUGGCGAAUCUGGCCUCCCUCUUCCAUCAAAGAAAAAGGAGAAAUUUGGAUAAUCCAGCCAGCAGUCAAGGUUUUGUUGCUCCGUGUACUGACUGAAGAUCAACAAACAGAAUGCAAGGCAUCUUCAAACAAAUUUCAGCUCCCAGCAAUUUCUUGAAGUAAUAAUUGGGUCUCCAUGGGGUGGGAAAGAGAGUUUGCGUCUAUCAUCACCCCCCUUGGCAGUUGGCUAUUCUGGGUGGGAAAUGUUGAAGGGAAAACCUAUCCCGGCCCGAUGCUGGCCCACUUAAAACUUCUAUUAUGAAACCAAGUUGCAUAAGCUGUAAGAGAAAAUAAGUUAUAUUCUCAGGAACAAAUUCUAGUGAAUCAGCUCAUUUUAGCCUCACAUCUUCAUCUGUCUCUGAAGUGCCUUAUUUAAAUUUUAAUAGAAAACGUUCUAUGUGGGGCUCAAAUGGAGGGAAUGAAAAUAACACUGUUUAUCCCCAAGACAAAAUUGUGUUGGGAGCAAAAGCAAAAAGAGAGAGAGAGAGAAAUACGAUGCUAAUUUCUUGAAAACAAACCUCCUAUGUCCCACUUCGUAGGGACUGGACAAAGCAAUAUAAAGUCUAUUGUACUGAACAAAAGCAGCAGUGGCACAUUCAGAGACUCACUGUCCCUUUUUAAGUGGCUUUAAAAAUCAGAGAAAAAUUUUCCUUUGGGGGAACGUGAGAAAAGCUUGCAAAGCAAGGUUUUGCCCCCGUCGUGAGGCCGUUCAAGAAAUAGGGUUGCAGGCAGGUCUUUUGUGAGCUUGGGAGAAAAAUCAAGACCUGGGUUCAAAUGCCAACUUCAUCACCAGCUGUGUGACCUCGGCCACGUCCCUGAGUGAGGCGUGAGGGCGGGCGGUCAGCUGUGAUGCAGAGGACACUCACAGCUGCUCUCGUGACAAGGAUGUGAAAUGACAUCCGCAAUUCCUGCCCGUCCCCCAACCGGGGCAGCCUCGCCAUGAGCCUCGUGUCCUCCAUACCAGGAGCUGGCAAACUGCAGCCACGGGCCAGGUCUGGCAGCUUCCUGGGUGUGGAGGAGGCCUCAGACAUUGCCAAGCCUGUCUGUCCCCGUGGUCUCCACCCUCACACACCCACAGCAGAACUGAGUAGGUGCAGGGAAAGGUAUGGUCCACGAGGUCUGGAAAGCUCUUCACCCGGUUUUUGGUUGAGAAAGGCUCUGAGCCGCACUCCCACAGUGGUGGAACAUGGGAGUCAUGUCAGGCAAACUUGUCCAGCUUCAGGCCUGAUGUCUGAUCAGCCACCUCAUUCUAUGGAUUCUAUCUGCAAAUAUCCCUCUUGUGUUUACACCUUCUCCCUUCUCCGCGGCCACGCUGUCUAAGCCACUGGAUGACAUUAGUCUCUAAGAAAGCGCCCAGCAGCUGCUCUGUCCACCCCAUCUCUCUCUCAGCCUGGUAACUCGCCUGGAUCUGACUUCUGGCUCAGUCCCUCUUUCUUCACUUGUGUUUUCAAAGAGCAUUGAAGAGAGCCAGGUCCACAAGGAGAGACUGGCAUGGACAGAGCUGCGGGCUUUGGGGGAAACACCCAGAAGGAAAUGGUGGCCGAAAGGAGAAUUAGACUGGAGGCAGAAAGUUAAAAAAUAUUGAGUUAUCCAAGUGAGAAGAAAUGAAUGUCUUCACUUAGCAGAUAAUGGGAAGAGGAAGAAGGAAGGAAAGAGAGGACAUUAGGGGAGGCAAAUAGCCUGGAAAAGAGAUUGAAUGAGAUCCAAGUUCAGUGAGCUCUGGUGGACGAGGGAUUUGUAAAGCACGGGCUGGAUCAGAGAAAGCAGCCCUUUUGCACAGGAGCUCCCCACAAAGGUGCCGCAGAGAUGGCCACAGCUACACUCAGGCACGGGUGCAGGAGGAUGGGGGUCCUGGUGGGAGAUAGUGGUUGGGGAAUACCUGCUGGGAAGCACAGAAAUGACCUUGGAUCCUGUAGUGUCCUUAGAUAGGUAAGAACGUACGAAUAGCUGCAGCACCGUUCCCACGACCAAGCGAUAGAAACAACCUGAGUGCCCAUAGACAGUGGAAUGGACCGAGAAGAAGUAUAAAAGAUACCCAGUGGAAUACUACUCAGCUACAAAAAAGAUGAACUCUUACCACUGGUGACACGAUGGAUGGCACAGGAGAGGAUUACACUAAAUAAAACAAGUCUGA